rnacentral:lncRNA from 1 species
GUGACAUGUUGUCCUGUUUUCCAUCUCAGGAAUUCCCGCUCAUAUUGACACACAUUCCGCUUUUGAGGAUGAGAUCGUUUCUCUCAGUUUGGGGUCAGAGAUUGUCAUGGAUUUUAAGCACCCAGAUGGCAUUGCAGUGCCAGUUAUGUUGCCUCGUCGGAGUUUGCUGGUGAUGACAGGAGAAUCUAGAUACCUUUGGACCCAUGGAAUCACAUGCAGAAAAUUUGAUACUGUUCAAGCAUCUGAGAGUCUUAAAAGUGGAAUUAUCACCAGUGAUGUUGGAGACUUAACUUUAAGCAAGAGGGGACUACGAACAUCAUUUACAUUUAGGAAAGUGAGGCAAACACCUUGUAACUGUAGCACUUUGAUUCCAUGUCUUGGCUGUUGUGAAUAGUGUUGCAGUAAACAUGUUACCCGUUGGUCUGUGAUAGCCAGAGGAAAGAGACUCCCCCCUCAUUUCCAGAGAGUGAUAAAGAAGCCUCACGGCUGGAGCAAGAGUACGUCCAUCAAGUUUAUGAAGAGAUUGCUGGGCACUUCAGCAGCACAAGACAUACCCCUUGGCCGCACAUUGUGGAGUUUUUGAAGGCUUUGCCAAGUGGUUCAAUAGUGGCUGAUAUUGGAUGUGGUAAUGGAAAGUAUCUUGGCAUCAAUAAGGAGUUA